AGCUGGUGAUGGGGGCCUGGACACGUGUCUAGUGCACUGCUGCCCUCCAGGGAUGAAGCUAGUCUCAGGACAUUGCCCGGGCUCCUGUCACGGCGGCUCUGUGGUUGGUCCACGCCUGCUCUGGCCGGCCACAGCUCUGGGCCUUUUUCACUGGCCUUCUUUGAGCUCUCCCUGGACUUUGGAGCAUCAUGAGAUUUUUCCAUGCUUCUGGCUCUGUCGCUCACAAGCUCAACAGUGACUUGGGGUCAGGGUGGUAAAGCAAAUAGGUGCCUUCCUGGGAAUGGGCAGUGGCGGGGGGUCAGGGAGAGGGAGGCUAGAGAAUAGAUAGGACCUCCUGGUAGUGGCAAGAACAGCCCCAGCUCCCGCCUUCCUGGAACCCUUCUGCUGAGGAGCCCCCGGGCUGAGGAGGAGGCCUCAUGGGGGCCAUUUCACAGACCAAGAGGCUGAGUCACUUGCCUAAGGUUGGGCCUCUGGUGAGUGACAGGCUGCAGCUGGACAGGAAAAGAACUCCUGCGGGGAGCCGCUAAUCCCAGAGUAAACAGAUGACCUCGUGGUGCCUUUCUCCCGGAGGCCUGACCUUCACCUGGAAGCAACUCCUCCCCCUCCUGGGUCUUCUGCGGACACUGCCCUGGCAGAGCUGGCUUUGCAUCCUGGCCGCCUCCCUUACUAGCUGUGUGACAGAGGCCAGCAAGUGCACCUUUCUGAGCCUCAGUUUCCUCACUUGGAAAGCAGACGUUCCUGGCAGCCCUGAGGGCUGUGCACACGGGCCAGGCUGAUGGAGUUAACUGCAAACACGCUCAGGAAGUGUAAACAGCCCUCCUCCGGGCCAGGACGACUGGCAGACUCACGGGCAGCUUGCACAAUCCUGUGUGCUGCUAUGACACUCAUUUUUGGGGCAUGGAGUCAUCUCUGCCAUGGGCCUCUCCCUCCUUGCCCUGGAUCGUCUUUGUAACACAGAUGGUACUGCGUGUCAGUAGUCAGUGGGAAGAAAUUCAGACCCCAGCCCCACCCCGAAGCUCAUUCUGAUUUAGAGCUGCCCAAGGACCCGAGGAGGCUGGAGCUGAAAGGGAGCCUGGGAAUUACCUAGCCCAACCUCUUCAUUUUCUAGAUGAAGGACCUGCGACCUAAAGAGGUGGGGACACUAAGGCCAUGUAAGUAUGUCAAAGCUUGGCACAAAGCUGGGUGUCCUGGGAUGGCAGCUGGUUUCAAAACCAGCCAAACAAGGCCUGUAAAUCUUGGCACAAUGGACUGUCCAGCCAUGUGAACUUGGAUCAGGGACUUCUUCCUGAGUCUCAGUCCCCUCAUCUGCAGGGCAUGGCAUGCAAGGGUGUUGUGCAGAACUCAGGGAGUGCUGAUAGUUAAAUGCCUAGCACAGUGCCAGGCUCAUACUAGGGGCUUCCUUCUCCUGCCUCCCUCUGCCCUUUCUUUGCAAACUU
rnacentral:lncRNA from 13 species